GCGCACGGGUGCGGUAACUACGUAUGUAACCUACCUUUACCAGGGGGAUAGCCUCUCGAAAGAGAGAUUAUGACCGCAUAACAUUGAGCACAUAGCAUUAUGAUUCAAUCACCAUAUUUAUAGGGUAAAGAUGGGCUUGCGGAACAUUAGCUAGUUGGUGAGGUAACGGCCCACCAAGGCUACGAUGUUUAGGGGAUCUGAGGAGGAUGACCCCCCACACUGGUACUGAGACACGGACCAGACUCCUACGGGAGGCAGCAGUAAGGAAUAUUGGUCAAUGGGCGGAAGCCUGAAACCAGCCAUGCCGCGUGCAGGAAGACGGCCUACGGGUUGUAAACUGCUUUUAUACCGGAAUAACCCCCCGUACGUGUACGGGGCUGAAUGUACGGUAAGGAUAAGGAUCGGCUAACUCCGUGCCCAGCAGCCGCGGUAAUACGGAGGAUCCGAGCGUUAUCCGGAUUUAUUGGGUUAAGGGUGCGUAGGCGGCCUGUUAAGUCAGGGGUGAAAGACGGUAGCUUAACUAUCGCAGUGCCUUUGAUACUGACGGGCUUGAAUGUACUUGAGGUAGGCGGAAUGUGACAAGUAGCGGUGAAAU
rnacentral:rRNA from 1 species